rnacentral:rRNA from 1 species
GACGUAGGGCGCGAGCGUUGUCCGGAUUUAUUGGGCGUAAAGAGCUCGUAGGCGGCUUGUCGCGUCGACUGUGAAAUCCCGCGGCUCAACCGCGGGUCUGCAGUCGAUACGGGCAGGCUUGAGUUCGGUAGGGGAGACUGGAAUUCCUGGUGUAGCGGUGAAAUGCGCAGAUAUCAGGAGGAACACCGGUGGCGAAGGCGGAUCUCUGGGCCGUAACUGACGCUGAGGAGCGAAAGCAUGGGGGAGCGAACAGG